rnacentral:rRNA from 1 species
UGAGGAAUAUUGGUCAAUGGGGGCAACCCUGAACCAGCCAAGUCGCGUGAAGGAUGAAGGUCUUAUGGAUUGUAAACUUCUUUUAUACAGGAAUAAAUUGGGGGACGUGUCCCCUUUUGCAUGUACUGUAUGAAUAAGGAUCGGCUAACUCCGUGCCAGCAGCCGCGGUAAUACGGAGGAUCCGAGCGUUAUCCGGAUUUCUUGGGUUGAAAGGGUGCGCAGGCGGGAUGUUAAGUCGGCGGUGAAAUUUUGCAGCUCAACUGUAAAAGGGCCUUUGAUACUGGCUUCCUUGAGUGUAGAUGAAGUAGGCGGAAUUUGUGGUGUAGCGGUGAAAUGCUUAGAUAUCACGAGGAACUCCGAUUGCGCAGGCAGCUUACUAAACUACAAUUGACGCUCAUGCACGAAGG